CAAAGCCCCAAAAAAAAAAAUCAUCCAUCAAAAGGAAAAAAAAAAGGGAUAAGGAUGAAGAAGAUGAUGAUAAUUGCUGUUCUUAUUUUCUGCGUUUUAAGUUCACAAAUGAAAAACGUAGCACCACAGGUGGAUUGCUACGACGCUUGUAGUACUGGUUGCGUUCAAAGUAACACGAGGCUUAUGCAGCGAUGUGAUCGCAAGUGCCAGAUUAGAUGCAGUCCAGAUUCCAAGGUAGAGGGGAAUUUGGGUUAGCUUAUUGAAAGAUAAAAAUCUACUUACUACAUAGUUUCUUGCUAUAUCCCACUCAAAUGUAUCGUGUUGAAUAAAAACAUAUAUAUAGCUUCUUAUCCAUCUUAUCUUAAAAGCAUUGAAGAGAUACUAAUAAGUUCAACAA